AGGGGUUGUGUUCUCACUCACCCUAACAAAAAAAGGUUCUGAAGCUUUGUGUUUACAAGACUAUACCACAGCCUUUCCAUCACACUCUUGUUCUUAAUUUUAUUACAAGAGGUGAAUGAAUGCUGGCAAAAAGUAUUUGCAAACAUGUGUGGGAACAGCAAAUAUGCAAAGCAGCAGCCACAAGAAAAAGUUCACAAGCAAUCCACUGAAAUACGCUUGCAUAAAACCCUUGUCAAAUAAUCUCGUCGGAUUAUCCUUUGAAACUGUGAACAAACCCUGCCUGACAACACAAAGGAAUUUUCCCAUGGAUCAGCUAAAGCUGACUCACAUGAAAGACUUGCCCGAAGUGGUCAUGCCCUCUGAGCAAAUACCACAGGCAUGAGGAUCUCUGCUCUUGGCCUAACAGCAGUGUUAGAAUUCCAGCGACCCAACCUGAAAAGUGAAAUCUCAUUGGAGGAUGGUAGGUCAUUUACCUAUGACCUAGCCAAUCUGCUCCUCUAUUUACUCAUGUUGCUAACUUCCAACAGGGUUGAAUGUUUUGAGCUGUCACUGCAUGUUGGGAGAAAUUUCCUGUUCUGCCCCUGGAAUACACCACAGAGCACUUGCUGUUUGUUUAAGCAGCAGAAUUUUGUACCCACAGAAAUGUAGCAGUUUUACAGGAAUGGCUGUGGGGAGUGCUGGGAGUUUUUGCCAGCUGGACCAGGAAGGGUUUGUGUUUCUGACUUCUAGGAAGGCAGUUUGAGCUGGACAGCCUCCAGAAGUUUCUGAGGACAGCCAAGCACACAAGAUUGCUCACUAGCUGCCUGCCUUGCUUUCUCUUGAGGGGUGGGGAGUGGAGCACUGUGGGAUGUUGGAAGACUGAGCAAGCCCCUAUCAUCCUCAGGGUGAAGAUGUUUCAGGAACCUCUUUAAAUAUGUUGCUUUUUUUCAAGGAUUAUUUUUAUGUGCUUUAGCCAUUUUUGAACUGCUUCUUUGGAAUAUCUGUACCCUCACUGCUUGGAGUGCUUUAGAGGCGCUUGGGGUGCUUCAAACAUCAUGUCUGUCUGUGGCCACAGAUAUCUUUACAAUGACAAGUACUAGAAGAAUUGUUUUUACACUGAAGUUUAAAUUUUAGGCCCCAGUAACCAGUUUCUGCAGACAGAUCAUCUCUGUAUUAAAAAAUAAAACAAAGCAAACCCCAAACAGCUUGGGGGGGAAACAUUUUAUAUCUUUUUACAACACAAAGGAGA